rnacentral:snoRNA from 1 species
UCGUAAAUGAUGAGAAAACAUCCUUGCUCUGCGAGUCGUUUGGCAAAUUGUUUUUCUGGAAAUUGGAAAUUUUAAACAUCGGGUUUAUUAUUUCACUUGAUUCGGAAACUCAUGGCUUCGACGGUGAACAGCGUUGGCCUCUGAUACGU